CUACUAGGGUAUCUAAUCCUGUUUGCUCCCCACGCUUUCGCACCUGAGCGUCAGUCUUUGUCCAGGGGGCCGCCUUCGCCACCGGUAUUCCUCCAGAUCUCUACGCAUUUCACCGCUACACCUGGAAUUCUACCCCCCUCUACAAGACUCUAGCUGGACAGUUUUAAAUGCAAUUCCCAGGUUGAGCCCGGGGCUUUCACAUCUAACUUAUCCAACCGCCUGCGUGCGCUUUACGCCCAGUAAUUCCGAUUAACGCUUGCACCCUCCGUAUUACCGCGGCGGCUGGCAC
rnacentral:rRNA from 1 species